CCUACGGGGGGCUGCGGCCCACCAAGGCGACGACCGGUAGCCGGCCUGAGAGGGCGGACGGCCACAUUGGGACUGAGACACGGCCCAGACUCCUACGGGAGGCAGCAGUGGGGGAUAUUGCACAAUGGGGGGAACCCUGAUGCAGCGACGCCGCGUGGGUGACGGAGUGCUUCGGCAUGUAAAGCCCUAUCGGCAGGGACGAAGCAAGACGGUACCUGACUAAGAAGCCCCGGCUAACUACGUGCCAGCAGCCGCGGUAAUACGUAGGGGGCGAGCGUUAUCCGGAUUCACUGGGUGUAAAGGGGGCGUAGACGGCCAUGCAAGCCAGGGGUGAAAGCCCGGGGCGCAACCCCGGGACUGCCCUUGGAACUGCAUGGCUG
rnacentral:rRNA from 1 species